CCCAAUCUCCAAUCACUCUUCGAAUCAGCACUGCCCUCCCCCCUCUCUCUCCUGUUAAUCUCUAAUUGCCCUAAUCUCCAAUGCCUUCCAUUAAAAGGGAUGCCCUCUUCCCUCUCUACACUAUGUAUUUCCGGCUCACACCACUACUAGAAUUUGACAAGGGGGAAUACUGGACAGAAAUUGCUCAUAUCCCCACCAUAAAGAUCGAUGGGGAAUAUAUUUAACAAUUAAAACAAAUGGCUCUCCAACUGAUAUGUGGCUUUUUAAGAGCGAGUACGACAAGUGUGGUACAUUAAUUGUCCGUAGGAAGUGUUUCUACGGUGCUGCUGCUAUUUUUACAUCUGUUCCCGAGUUCUUUUUUUUUUUUUAAUCUUUCCACUAAAGCUAUUAUGUCGUCCACAGUGAAUUUUCAGGUCUGUUGUUAUAGGCAAGUCUUUGGGAUGCAACUAUCAAAGAAGGGCGAUUACAAUCAGUGUACCGCUGAUACUAUUUCAUGUUUCUAGUGUAAACCUCUUUUGCAAGUUGACAAACUCGAUUAGUUAAUAUGUUUGGGACUCAACUAGUGGUUAGAGUACUCAUUUUGUAAGACUUGUGUACAGAAAAUCAAAUUAGAAUUAUAACUCGUGAUGGUUGAAUAAACUCCAAGAAGUACUGCUAUAGUUAUAGUGGAUAUGUAGUUUGCUCA